rnacentral:rRNA from 1 species
UACGGAGGAUGCAAGCGUUAUCCGGAUUCACUGGGUUUAAAGGGUGCGUAGGUGGAUUGGUAAGUCAGUGGUGAAAUCUCCAAGCUUAACUUGGAAACUGCCGUGGAUACUAUCAAUCUUGAAUAUCGUGGAGGUAAGCGGAAUAUGUCAUGUAGCGGUGAAAUGCUUAGAUAUGACAUAGAACACCAAUUGCGUAGGCAGCUUACUACACGAUCAUUGACGCUGAGGCACGAAAGCGUGGGGAGCAAACAGG